UUAAAAAAGCUUUUCUCCAGAAAACUUCUCUUUUUACAAUAGAGGUGUGCUGCCAUUAGGAGUAGACACGGCGACCGUUUCUUCUUCAUCUUCUUCGCCUAAAUCUUGCUUGUAACCGGAAAAAUCGCCGGAGGAUAAGCAAGGCAUUGUACUCUUUGUUUUUUGUAGUCGAAGUCUCGAGACGGGCAAAUGUCGGAUAUUAGGAAGUGGUUUAUGAAAGCCCAUGAAAAAGGGAACGGAAG